rnacentral:misc_RNA from 1 species
CCUAGAGGUUGUAGGCUUUGCCUGCUAUCUCUUACCCAUGUCUUUUGAGUACCUUACGUUUCCUCGGUGGGUUCGCCCACCGAUUGGACAAACUUAAACCCUUUGCAGUUGAAAUCAGCGUCUGAAAAAACUUAAUAGUUA